GCCAGUGGUACCCUGGGGUGCACGGGGCAAAGCCUUGCCAGCAGCAGGAGGGAGGUGACCCUUCCCCUCUGCUUGGCGCUGCUGAGGCCAGGCCUGAGGUGCUGUGCCCAGGGCUGGGCUCCCAGUGCAAGAGAGACAUGGGCAUAGUGGAGAGAGCCCCCAGUGCCCCUCCCCCACCACUGCGCUCAGAAUGUUGGGCUGUGUUGACCCGGCGCUGUCCCGGCAACACUUCUGUGCCGCCACGAAGUGUCAGGGGUAAGAGCCAAGCUCUUGCCCUGCAGCACUGGGACGGCACUGGGGCACUGUUUGCCAGAAUUUGUCCACCUGUCUGGCCACCACCUCGUGCCCCACAGGCGUGCCCUUUCAGGACGCUUGUCUUGGCUUUGUGGAGAUGGGCCAGGUGAAUUGCUGCCGUGGCGCCAGGGACGAGCCUGAGCCUGAGCAGCCACGUGUGCCCAGCGCUGGAACUGGCCAGUUGGCUGAUGGUGGCACCCGCAGCAGGAGGAGGAGGUGGCUGCCCUGGCACUUUGUGCGGCCAGGGACCUCGGCGGCUGCAGAGGCACCGGGGCCGUCGGGCUCUACCCGCAUGGGGCUUCUCUUUGGCCGGCCCCUGGCUGAUCUCUGCAGCCAGGAUGGCAU